GUGGUGAAAUCCUUCCGCUUNNCGGGAGAACGGCCAUUGAUACUGUUAGACUUGAAUUAUUAGGAAGUAACUAGAAUAUGUAGUGUAGCGGUGAAAUGCUUAGAGAUUACAUGGAAUACCAAUUGCGAAGGCAGGUUACUACUAAUUGAUUGACGCUGAUGGACGAAAGCGUGGGUAGCGAACAGGAUUAGAUACCCUGGUAGUCCACGCCGUAAACGAUGGAUACUAGCUGUUCGGAGCAAUCUGAGUGGCUAAGCGAAAGUGAUAAGUAUCCCACCUGGGGAGUACGUUCGCAAGAAUGAAACUCAAAGGAAUUGACGGGGGCCCGCACAAGCGGUGGAGCAUGUGGUUUAAUUCGAUGAUACGCGAGGAACCUUACCAAGGCUUAAAUGUAGAUUGACCGGUUUGGAAACAGAUCUUUCGCAAGACAAUUUACAAGGUGCUGCAUGGUUGUCGUCAGCUCGUGCCGUGAGGUGUCAGGUUAANUCCUAUAACGAGCGCAACCCCUGUUGUUAGUUGCCAGCGAGUCAUGUCGGGAACUCUAACAAGACUGCCAGUGCAAACUGUGAGGAANGUGGGGAUGACGUCAAAUCAUCACGGCCCUUACGCCUUGGGCUACACACNUG
rnacentral:rRNA from 1 species